rnacentral:rRNA from 1 species
UCCUACGGGUGGCUGCAGUGGGGAAUAUUGCACAAUGGGCGGAAGCCUGAUGCAGCAACGCCGCGUGCGGGAUGAAGGCCUUCGGGUUGUAAACCGCUUUCAGCUCCGACGAAUGUGACGGUAGGAGCAGAAGAAGCACCGGCUAACUACGUGCCAGCAGCCGCGGUGAUACGUAGGGUGCGAGCGUUGUCCGGAUUUAUUGGGCGUAAAGAGCUCGUAGGCGGUUUGUUGCGUCGGAAGUGAAAACUUGGGGCUUAACUCCAAGCUUGCUUUCGAUACGGGCAGACUUGAGGGAGGUAGGGGAGAACGGAAUUCCUGGUGGAGCGGUGGAAUGCGCAGAUAUCAGGAGGAACACCGGUGGCGAAGGCGGUUCUCUGGACCUUUCCUGACGCUGAGGAGCGAAAGCGUGGGGAGCAAACAGGCUUAGAUACCCUGGUAGUCAU